rnacentral:rRNA from 1 species
GAUGAACGCUGGCGGCGUGCCUAAUACAUGCAAGUCGAGCGAACGGACGAGAAUUUUGCUUCUCUGAUGUUAGCGGCGGACGGGUGAGGAACACGUGGAUAACCUACCUAUAAGACUGGGAUACCUUCGGGAAACCGGAACUAAUACCGGAUAAUAUUUUGAACUGCAUGGUUCAACAGUAAAAAACGGUUCUGCUGUCACUUAUUCGUGGUACCGCGCUGCAUUGGCUAGUUGGUAAGGUAACGGCCUACCAAGGCAACGAUGCAUAGCCGACCUGAGAGGGUGAUCGGCCACACGGGAACUGAGACACGGUCCAGACUCCUACGGGAGGCAGCAGUGGGGAAUGUUGCGCAAUGGGCGAAAACCUGACCCAGCAACGCCGCGUGAGUGAUGAAGGUCUUCGGAUCGUAAAACUCUGUUAUUAGGGAAGAUGAUCAGUGUAAUUAGCUGUGCACAUCUUGACGGUACCUAAUCAGAAAGCCACGGCUAACUACGUG